rnacentral:rRNA from 1 species
ACGGGUGAGUAACACGUGGGCAACCUGCCGGACUGAUGGGAAUAACCCCGGGAAACCGGGGCUAAUGCCCAAUACGCCCUGACCUCGCCUGAGGUCAGCGGUAAAGCAGGGAUCUUCGGAUCCUUGCACAGUCCGAUGGGCCCGCGGCGCAUUAGCUAGUUGGAGAGGUAAGGGCUCCCCAAGGCGACGAUGCGUAGCCGACCUGAGAGGGUGAUCGGCCACACUGGGACUGAGACACGGCCCAGACUCCUACGGGAGGCAGCAGUAGGGAAUCAUCCGCAAUGGGCGAAAGCCUGACGGUGCAACGCCGCGUGAGUGAUGAAGGUUUUCGGAUCGUAAAGCUCUGUUGACAGGGAAGAACCCACGCCAGUCGAACAGGCUGGCGUGCUGACGGUACCUGUCCAGAAAGCCCCGGCUAACUACGUGCCAGCAGCCGCGGUAAUACGUAGGGGGCAAGCGUUGUCCGGAAUUAUUGGGCGUAAAGGGCACGCAGGCGGUUUCGUCAGUCCGAUGUGACAGGCCACGGCUCAACCGUGGAAGGCCAUUGGAAACUGCGAAACUUGAGGACAGAAGAGGAGAGUGGAAUUCCACGUGUAGCGGUGAAAUGCGUAGAUAUGUGGAGGAACACCAGUGGCGAAGGCGACUCUCUGGUCUGUACCUGACGCUGAGGUGCGAAAGCAUGGGGAGCAAACAGGAUUAGAUACCCUGGUAGUCCAUGCCGUAAACGCUGAGUGCUAGGUGUUAGGGGUUUCGAUACCCGUAGUGCCGAAGCUAACGCAUUAAGCACUCCGCCUGGGGAGUACGACCGCAAGGUUGAAACUCAAAGGAAUUGACGGGGGCCCGCACAAGCGGUGGAGCAUGUGGUUUAAUUCGACGCAACGCGAAGAACCUUACCAGAUCUUGACAUCUUCCGCUACGCCUCGAGAGAGGCGGUUCCCCUUCGGGGGACGGAAUGACAGGUGGUGCAUGGUUGUCGUCAGCUCGUGUCGUGAGAUGUUGGGUUAAGUCCCGCAACGAGCGCAACCCCUAAUCUUAGUUGCCAGCAUUCAGUUGGGCACUCUAAGGUGACUGCCGGUGACAAACCGGAGGAAGGUGGGGAUGACGUCAAAUCAUCAUGCCCCUUAUGAUCUGGGCUACACACGUGCUACAAUGGAUGGUACAACGGGAUGCGAACCCGCGAGGGGGAGCCAAUCCAGAAAAGCCAUUCUCAGUUCGGAUUGCAGGCUGC